GACGAACGCUGGCGGCGUGCUUAACACAUGCAAGUCGAACGGGUCUGCCCUGUUUUUUGCGGGGUGGGUCAGUGGCGAACGGGUGAGUAACACGUGAGUAACCUGCCCCUCACUUCUGGAUAACCGCUUGAAAGGGUGGCUAAUACGGGGUGUUCUGGCUGUGCCGCAUGGUGUGGCUGGGAAAGAUUCACUUUUGUGGUGUUUUGGUGGGGGAUGGGCUCGCGGCCUAUCAGCUUGUUGGUGGGGUGAUGGCCUGCCAAGGCUUUGACGGGUAGCCGGCCUGGGAGGGUGGGCGGUCACACUGGGACUGAGAUACGGCCCAGACUCCUGCGGGAGGCAGCAGUGGGGGGUAUUGCACAAUGGGCGGAAGCCUGAUGCAGCGACGCCGCGUGAGGGAUGGAGGCCUUCGGGUUGUGAACCUCUUUCGCCGGUGAAGAAGGUCCUGCUCUUUGUGGUGGGGUUGACGGUAGCCGGGUUAUGAAGCGCCGGCUAACUACGUG
rnacentral:rRNA from 1 species